rnacentral:rRNA from 1 species
UGGGGAAUAUUGGACAAUGGGCGAAAGCCUGAUCCAGCCAUGCCGCGUGUGUGAAGAAGGUCUUCGGAUUGUAAAGCACUUUAAGUUGGGAGGAAGGGCAUUAACCUAAUACGUUAGUGUUUUGACGUUACCGACAGAAUAAGCACCGGCUAACUCUGUGCCAGCAGCCGCGGUAAUACAGAGGGGGCAAGCGUUAAUCGGAAUUACAGGGCGUAAAGCGCGCGUAGGUGGUUUGUUAAGUUGGAUGUGAAAUCCCCGGGCUCAACCUGGGAACUGCAUUCAAAACUGACUGACUAGAGUAUGGUAGAGGGUGGUGGAAUUUCCUGUGUAGCGGUGAAAUGCGUAGAUAUAGGAAGGAACACCAGUGGCGAAGGCGACCACCUGGACUAAUACUGACACUGAGGUGCGAAAGCGUGGGGAGCAAACA